rnacentral:rRNA from 1 species
UUACCUGGUCCGGACAUCAAAAGGAUAGACAGACCGCAGAUCUUUCUUGAUAUGGUGAUUGGUGGUGCAUGGCCGUUCUUAGUUCGUGGAGUGAUCUGUCAGGCCUAUUCCGGUAACGAACGAGACCACAUUCUCCAUUUGACGAGUCGGAGAAGACGUCAAUUUUGAGUCGGAUUGCUUGCAAUUCGUCGCGCUAUUGGCGUUGAAGGCAUCGCGGAGAGACGCUUGCGCACCGGUCGAGGUGGCAACACUGAGAUCGGGGUGUUGGUCGUGCGCUCUGUGCUCCCUCCUGCUUAGCAGUACACUUCUCGCAAGGGACGGUGUGUUGUAUCAUGGAGAGACAACGGAAUAUAUUAAAAAAAUCCGAGGAAGUGUGGCUAUAACAGGUCUGUGAUGCCCUUAGAUGUUCAGGGCUGCACGCGCGCUACAAU